AACGUAGGAGACAAACGUUAUCCGGAGUUACUGGGCGUAAAGCGUGCGUAGACGGUUAUUUAAGUCGGGUGUGAAAGCCCCGGGCUCAACCUGGGAAUUGCAUUCGAGACUGAAUAGCUAGGGUACGGUAGAGGGAAGCGGAAUUUCCGGUGUAGCGGUGAAAUGCGUAGAUAUCGGAAGGAACAUCAGUGGCGAAAGCGGCUUCCUGGACCAGUACCGACGUUCAGGCACGAAAGCGUGGGGAGCAAACAGG
rnacentral:rRNA from 1 species